AAGAGGCAGGGUCACCUAAUUUUUUAUGGAAUGACUUUCUUGGCUUACCCCUUGCAAGGCUUCUUUUCUGUUUCAAUUAUGCUUCCUGUAUAAUAGGGGCAGUAAACUAUACUUGACCUCUACUAUAGGCUUAUUAAAUAUAGUCAGAAUCUAAGAGAUAACCUAGAGAUUAUCUGUCCUUAUUCCUUAUUUCUUCAUUUCCAUUGUAAGAAAAUGAGGCCCAAAAUAGGAAAGUGAUUUCACUACUGAGUGCUCUGAAUUUCUUGAUGGUAGGUAACUAAAAAGUGAAGGAUUUUCGUGUGAGUCCAGUGCUAAUAGCUCAUACUAUAUCAGAAUAUCACCAGUUCCUCUAAUUCACUUAUAGUUUAACACUUGAGUAGCUUGCUUUGCCAAAGUUAUUUCAUGGAUGAAUAAUAUCAUCCUAACUUGCCUCUUCUACUCAUUCUUGGAAGGUAUACCUGGAGUUUCAGGGCCAAAAGGUUAUCAGGGUUUGCCUGGAGACCCAGGGCAACCUGGACUGAGUGGACAACCUGGAUUACCAGGACCACCAGGUAAGUGUGAUAGGCCAUUUGUAGCAAUUGCUUAGCUGACACUGAAUUCUGGAUAAAUAAUUAUGUGUUUGUCAUGUUUGAAGAUGCUGUGGAUUUGAUCAUGGUAAUAAGCUUGGGUAGCUACUGAAAUAUGGAGCUCACUUUCGGCAAAAAUAUUGCCCUUUGGCUCUAGUUUUAGCAGUCCAGAUUUUAUAGGAUAUUUUCAGUUUCUUCUUUUUGUGGCAGCAGGGUAUAAUAAAAUAAAAAAAGUUUAAGGCAAUACUGUGGUCCUAGGAAAAAACCCAGAUGACAUCACAGAGCUCAAGCACCUAUGUGCUAGGAAAAAUGUACAAACAGAGCAGCCAUGCCUGUUCAGGUCACUGCCCAGUAUCUGUCCACCACCUCUAAUCUCUCCCUGGCCUAAUGUACUAAACUAUAUCAUAACAGGUUACCACCUUUUCUCUUUCUGAUCUCAUAUAAUCACGCUCUACAUGAGAAGCCCAUCUCUGAAUCUUUUAAAAAACAGACUUAUUAUAUUGGAUUUAUCUGUGAAAAUACAUUAAGGGUAGUUGUACACAUACAGCAAAUAGCACUUCAGGUGAUUGGAAUUGUUUUAGGGAAAGAAACAAGGUGUUCUGGUAACUUUUUAAUUUUUUUUUAAAGUUAUAUUAGGAGACCUCUAUUACUAUGGUUAUAUUGUAAUAUGUUCCCAAGGAGAUGUUUUAUGUUGGGUUCUAUCUGUGGACCUUAAUCAUAUAUUCAGAUUUAAUCCAUCUAAUCCCAUGUUUGCAUUUUAAUGACUAUCCAUUCCCAUGAAACCAGACAACCCCAAUAUUGCUACAUUGUCUUAAUUUUACCAAUUUGACCUUUCUAGGUCCCAAAGGUAACCCUGGUCUCCCUGGACAGCCAGGUCUUAUAGGACCUCCUGGACUUAAAGGAACCAUCGGUGAUAUGGGUUUUCCAGGUGAGUGAUGAAAAUCUUCCAAAUAUUUAGUCCCAUUAAUGAAAGGUGGUUCAAUAUCUCUUUUUUUGUCAGAAAAGAGGCUGGUGUUGAUAGAAUCAGACUGAAACGAUAUCUGAGGUAAUCAGUGGGUAGUGUUCUCUUGUUACACAAAUAUUUAAAAUGGGAAUUAAGGGACAAAAUUGUAGAAACCUUAAAAGUUAUAAUUCACAAACAUCUUUUCUCCAGCUAUACCCCCUUUUAUUUAAACUUCCUUUAAAAGUAGGCUUUUAUAUAAUUGUGUUUGUGAGGCUCAUUAUUAUCUAACUCAGAGUUUGCGGAGCUUUUUAAAAAUCUUUUUGCUUUGUCAUAUGCAUCUUAGAUAAUCCACAAGUAAAGCAUAUUUUGUAAAAUAUUAUAUAUCACAUAUUUUCAACAGGGCCUCAGGGUGUGGAAGGGCCUCCUGGACC
rnacentral:lncRNA from 1 species